CGCCUGGUAAAGGCCACGGUAAAGUCAAGGGCAUGGCCUAAUCACAGAGGUUUGGUCACUCUCCCAUCACUGAGCCCCUCAGCCAGGGAAAGAACCGGGGGGCACAAUCAGUGCCAUCGCUAACCCCCUUACAGGCAGAGGAGACUGCUGCACUCACACUCAGUAGUAGCAUCCUCACUGCAUCCACCACAAUCCAGCACACGGGACAGAGGCUGCAACUGCCAGCUGGCUGACAGUUAAGAGGGGAGAUGGACCCAGGCCCCUAGUGGACCCUUCCAGUAAGUCCAGUGGCGAGGAAGACCAACUUAGAGUCUAAAAAGGGAAAAUUAUGGCAGAAGUGGUGCAGCUGUAGGGGCAACAGCAGGGACAGCAGCAGAGACAAGAAAUGGCAAAAUGGAGGAGAAAUGUAUUAUUGACAACUGGCACCAGGGAACAGUGUGGCAUCAAGGGAUGGGUGCGUAAAAUAAUGGAGGAGCACCUGCUGAAUUUCAAAAUAUCAAGCGCCUCCACAGUGGACAAGUGGCUGGGGUGGAACAUACCUGUAAUGUACGGCUGUUACGGUAUUCUGUCAGCCUUGAAUGGACAAAUUUGAAUACAAUUAGUAAUGAUGUCCAUUUUGUAAAAGAAGACUGUUCACAAGAACUACAAUACCUAUAAUACAUUGACCACUGGAAA